ACUUCUGCAUUUUUCCAGCCCGCCCAUAGGGGGUGGGACCAAUGGGUGGGACCCAUAGCCAGUAUGGGGACCUCCCUCCCAGAUUGUAAACAGUGUCAGCCAUCCUGUAGCUAAGCUACCCCGCUCUUGCUCUUGUGGAGAAAGCAGAGUAGUAGAUUCACCACGAUGGCAGAAGGUAGUUCUGAAGACGAUAUGGCAGAAGGUGAUUUUGAAGAUCUGGUGCGCGAAUCUGAUGCUCGUGGCUACCUGUACGAGCCGAAUUACAGCGAGGAACAGUUGCGGAUGAUAGAGGAACAAGAGGCUGCCGGAGCAGCUGCUGUAGCAGAGGAGCGAGACUUGCCUAGCGGUAUUGAGGAAGAUCCCGGGCAGACUCGAGCUGGGGCGGAUUGGUGGUGUCAGUGUUCUCGCAGAGCGCAAAUGGACACAGAGAGUCCUGUUGCUUUCAGGAUCCCGAAAGUGAAUUGGAAACGCCAACCAAAGCCCGCAGGGAGAAACUGACGCCUGAGUAUAAAACAAUAUCGCCUAACAGCCUACCGUCACUUCGUGGAAUGGGUCCUUUGAGAUUGGGAAAAGGCUAUCGUCUUGUUUUUCCUGCCUGUGUUGUUCAGGACAUCAGACGGAGAUAUCCAGCUCCUGACGGACAAUACUGUGGCUAUAAAGAAACUAUUGAAGCUCUGGAUGAGCUAUGAGUGUGAAAUUGAUCAUAUUAUGUUUUUUAAUUAAAAGUUUAAAAUGUUA